ACGGGGCAUUGCCUUAGUAGCGGCGAGUGAAGCGGCAAAAGCUCAAAUUUGAAAUCUGGCACUUUCAGUGUCCGAGUUGKAAUUUGAAGAAGGUAUCUUUGGGUCUGGCUCUUGUCUWUGUUUCUUGGAACAGAACGUCACAGAGGGUGAGAAUCCCGUGCGAUGAGAUGUCCCAGACCUAUGUAAAGUUCCUUCGAAGAGUCGAGUUGUUUGGGAAUGCAGCUCUAAGUGGGUGGUAAAUUCCAUCUAAAGCUAAAUAUUGGCGAGAGACCGAUAGCGAACAAGUACAGUGAUGGAAAGAUGAAAAGAACUUUGAAAAGAGAGUGAAAAAGUACGUGAAAUUGUUGAAAGGGAAGGGCUUGAGAUCAGACUUGGUAUUUUGUAUGUUACUCUCUCGGGGGUGGCCUCUACAGUUUACCGGGCCAGCAUCAGUUUGAGCGGUAGGAUAAGUGCAAAGAAAUGUGGCACUGCUUCGGUAGUGUGUUAUAGUCUUUGUCGAUACUGCCAGCUUAGACUGAGGACUGCGGCUUCGGCCUAGGAUGUUGGCAUAAUGAUCUUAAGUCGCCCGUCUUGAAAMACGGGACACAAA
rnacentral:rRNA from 1 species